rnacentral:misc_RNA from 1 species
GAUGAAGAACGUAGUGAAAUGCGAUAAUUAAUGUGAAUUGCAGAAUUCAGUGAAUCAUCGAGUCUUUGAACGCACAUUGCGCCCCCUGGUAUUCGGGGGGGCAUGCCUGUCCGAGCGUCAUUGCUGCCCUCAAGCACGGCUUGUGUGUUGGGCUUCCGUCCCUGGCAACGGGGACGGGCCCAAAAGGCAGUGGCGGCACCAUGUCUGGUCCUCGAGCGUAUGGGGCUUUGUCACCCGCUCCCGUAGGUCCAGCUGGCAGCUAGCCUCGCAACCAAUCUUUUUAACCAGGUUGACCUCGGAUCAGGUAGGGAUACCCGCUGAACUUAAGCAUAUCAAUAAGCGGAGGA